UUGUUUUACUCAAAGGCACACAGGUGUGCGCCCCAGAGUGCUCAGAUGUUGGAGUUGGCACUUCAACUACUCCCUUUGUGCGCACACAUGCUUUCCUGUCCUCCACAGCAGUGAAGCGACACCGGUUGCUUGAUAUUGAGGAAGAAAUCAUGCCAAUAAAGAGACCCUGUCUGGAGCAGACUGAAGUGGGUGUUGACUCUUUAGAGGGCAGCUCUACAAUGAUACAGAGCCCCCAUGAUCCAACCUACAACCCUGAGGACUCCAUAAGUGCUUUGACAGAGGAUACUGGACACAUCAUGGACCCUUCUACACCAACCUACAAAAUGCCUACUUAUAUUGUAUAUGAAAAAUGCCUCUUAGAACUUUUUGAGGUGUGCCCAGUGUGUUAACGAGGGACAAGGGUGAAGGCCAGAACAGUUGGGCCCUUUCUGUGUGUAGAGCAGCGAUGUCCACACUGUGAUUUUGUAAGAAAAUGGAAUAGUCAACCACUACAUGGAGGCAGCCCAGCAGGGAAUCUACAGCUUUCAGUUGCUGUGUAUUCCAAUGGCAGCUCAUUUUUCAGAGUGGAAAAAAUCUUCCGAGCAAUGAGGCUGCAAAUGUUCCAACACAACACCUAUAGACGGCAUUCCAGACUUUACAUAAAGCCAGCUAUUAUAUACAAGUGGAAGUCAACACAGGCUGGUAUAAUGGAGAAGCUUAAAACACAAAAAGCCAUACUUGGUGGUGACAUGAGGGCUGACUCUCCAGGUAUGUACCGAUCCUCUAUCAUCAUUAACUCAGUCCCCACUUGCAGACUUCAACCGUUGAAGCUUUUCACAGUGUCAUCCUGCUUUUUGCCCCCAAAAUCAAUCACUAUCCUUUCCUGGGAAUGCUGUGCAGGUAAAAAGUAUUGCGAAGGCAUUAUAAUC